rnacentral:lncRNA from 10 species
CUAUGCGGGGACAGCGGCAAUCCCCCCUGAAUUCCUUUCGGCCUCUGGGGCCAUUUGGCAGCCGAGUUCCCUCCCCGGGUGCUCCUGGAGCUCCCAGGGCUUGACCCUCCGGCUCGGACAGAGCUGGGAGCGGCAGGGGCGGGGAGGACAGUGCGGGGAGCAAAAUCCGCAGCCCCCACCCAGGUCCCCCAGCCGAGCGCCAGGGCACGGGGAGGGGAGGGGAGGGGGUGUGGCCGGGAUGGGAAGGGGCGGGGGACAGGGAGGCCGGCUGGACGGGUUCGGUGGCCCCAGAGUUGCAGCCGCUCUGGGCUCUGGGGCCAGGUUGCGGUUCUCCCUGGGUAGCGGCUGCUCCCGGGAAGCUCGCUGCCGGCUGGGGUGGGGGUUCCUGGAAACGGGCGCCACCCAGCCUCUCCCCACCUAGCUCAGGAAUGGUGCGCCUGGAAACUCCGCUGGACUUGCCUGGGCCUCGGGGCGGAGUGCUGGGGCGCUGGGUGCCCGAGUCCCCGGGUUCCCUGAGCUUAGAAGGGCCUGUCUGGAGGAAGGGAUUCCAGCUCUAGGGACUGGGUGGGGCGUCCUCAGCCCCUCUUUCGGCAGCUGUCCCGUGUUAGGCUGGGUGGGGCCGCCUCGGACCCAGCUCUGGGCUGGUUUUCCCACGUCUUUGCUCCUGCUGGAGGGAGGGGGUGGUGUGGGGCCUGGGCCCGAAGAUGGCACCCAGGACACUGAGGGAGGGCGCCGUCCGGUCCUGUGACUGGCACCCCUGCAAGGAGCUGCUCUGUCGGGGCGCCCCCGGGCUUUGCCUGUCCGAGGAAAGCGCCCUUCAACCCGGCCGACUUUGAGCCCUGAGUUCCUGAGGGUGAGCGCAGGAGGAGUCCAGGGCAGAGGCCGGCAGGACUCGCUGGUGGCUGGGAGCUGAGUCCUGGCUCCACUCUCACAGAUGAACGGGCCCCGAGCCCAGGGCCCCAGACAAGGCUGCUCUGGUUCCAGUUGUGCCGGGUGACGGCAGAGCCAGGACAAAGGAGGCCUGUUGAGGUCCUGGCCACCCCCAGCCGGCCGCCCUGGGAUGAUGGAAUGCAGGGCAGUGGGUCUUCUGAGAACAUGAGGACCUUGGCGCCCUGACGGCGGUGGCAUGGAGUGACCUCUGUGUGUGGGGGAGGAGCCCCCUGUGCUGCUUCCGCCUGGGGCUGGUUGGGGGUGAGGGCUCCAGCAGCUAAUUUCCUGCUAGAGGAAGUUCUUUGAGGUCACAGGGCAGACGCAGAGAAGGCCUACAGCCUACUCUGACCUUUCUCUCCAAAAAGGAGGUGUCUCUGUGCCAGAACCCUGGGCAUGGAGAUCCUGAAAGGGGCUGUGUCUACAGGCACCCUACCUCUUCCCCAUUUCCCAGGGACUGGCGACAUCGAGGAAACAGAUGUGGAACUGCAGACCCCACACCCUUCCUUCCUCUCUCCCCUCCCCUGACACUGGAGGGGGCCCCCCAUUCCAUUCUGGCAUGAGGCUUAUUCGGUGCCUCACCAUUUAUGUACCUG